ensembl:lincRNA
CCAUGUCCUGCAGACGUCUGGCGGCAGCGUCUACUCCAUUGCUGUGACAAAUCACCACAUUGUCUGUGGCACCUACGAGAACCUCAUCCACGUAAGGCCAGGGCGUCUGGGUGUAGGGCCAGACUGUGGCCCCAUCUCCCCUGCCUUGCUCAGUGUCUUUGACCUGCCUGUGCCCACCCCUCCCAGGUGUGGGACAUUGAGUCCAAGGAGCAGGUGCGGACCCUCACAGGCCAUGUGGGCACUGUGUAUGCCCUGGCAGUCAUCUCGACACCAGACCAGACCAAAGUCUUCAGUGCAUCCUACGACCGGUCCCUCAGGGUGCGUGCGGGCCCAGGGGUGGCAGGAGGCUCAGAGGGCGGGCAGCUGAGCUCUAGUGGGCCCUCACGUCCCAUGUGCCCCAGGUCUGGAGUAUGGACAACAUGAUCUGCACGCAGACCCUGCUGCGUCACCAGGGCAGCGUCACCGCGCUGGCCGUGUCCCGGGGCCGACUCUUCUCAGGGGCUGUGGAUAGCACUGUGAAGGUUUGGACUUGCUAACAGGAUCCAGGCCAGGCCGUGGCUUCCCCUGGACCAGCCCUGGACCAGCCCUGGACCUGUCUGAACCAGGCUGGUCACAUGGGGUGGUCUCGGGGUUUCUGCCUGCCCUGUGGGCACAGGUGGACAGGCUUUGGCAGCCGGGCAGUGCCCUCCCUGCCCCAUGCUCGGCGAGCCUCCCUCGGCACUGUCCUCGCCACCCAGCCCCUCUCUCUGGGUGCCAGAAACGUCAAAGUUGUGCCCAACACUGUGGAUCAGCAAACACGAUAGAGACCAGUCAGUACUUCUUGGAGGGAGCAGGGACAGAGAGAGGAAAAGGGAGGGUGAGAAUGACCACACGACACAGCCUUGGACCAUGAGCAGAAGCGUCCGUGGGAACUCCGGCGGGGUGGACGGGCUGCCUGCACAGGCCCCAGAGGAGGCCAGGCACGUCCUCAGAGGAGCUGCAAGCCCGUGGCCUGGCCUGCUACGUGCCGUGCUUCCACGUGGCCGCCACACUGACACACCCACAUUCACCACACCCACCCGCGCCCCGAUACAGCCACGCCAGGAGGAGGACAUGGCCGCCAAGAGCAAGGCACAACCUCGAGUUCUUGGGGCGCAGAGAACUUAGGAGAGAAGCGCGGAGGAGCCCCGCCAGAGCACCCGCCCCGGGCCCCAGCCUUCCACCUGUGCUAGCGGCCUGGGGCCUCCACUCUGGCCGGAGGGAGGAAGGACCGCCGGCAGACAGCCUGGUCCUCUUAACAGCUUUUGUCCGGAGCUAGAUUCGUGUCCUUUCAGUUGGUAAAUGGUUUUCUAUAGAAUCAAUAAUAUUUCUUUCUUUAAAUAUAUAUUUGUUAGUUAUACCUUUUGUUUCUCUGGGGAAAUCCGCCUCAGCUCAUUCCCAAUAAAUUAAUACUCUUGAUAGCUUAUAUUCUGAGGGUGCGAUGGGGCGGGGGGCCCUGACCCUGGUCCCCUGUCCCUUGUGCUGCGCCUGAGCGGCUGACCGGGCGUCCCGAUGGGCAGUUCUGUGCUGGGCCCGGGCCUGUGCGCUGCCCCAUCCCUGGUCCCGUGGCGCCCUCCCCUUCCGCACAGGCAGGAGGCCCAGCAGGUAUUGCACGGGGAGCAGCAAGUGGGGAGGACGCGCGGGCGCGGGGUCUGCCCAGAGCCCUUGGAGCCCCGGCCAGGCGGUCCCCGGUGGGCGCCCCAGCCCGACCCCAAGGGCCGGAGUUGUGCUUGUGCGGGGUCCUGCCCGGCCGCUCGCGCCGCGCCCAGACGCGCCCAUCCUGAGGUAUAGGUCAGUGUGCGGGGAGGGCCCGGGCGGCGCAGGCGGGCCCGGCGAGGCGGCGCUCACUCCAGCAUGGCGUCCAGCUGGUCGGCCAGGUCGUCGAACAUGCUGCCGAUGUCGUCCAGGAUGCUGCCCGUGCUCUUUUCCGCCGCCGAGUCGCUGCGGGGCGCGGGGCGCGGGGCGUGAGCGGGCGGGGUGGGCCUGGCCACGCCCACCUCGGUCAGGACACGCCCACAGCCCGCAUCUCCGUCGGGCUCCGCCUACCGCACGAUGACCUCGACCGAGCCCGUUGACGCCGCCCUGUCCCUGCUGAGCCCCGCUCACGCCACGCCCACCUCUACCAAGCCCCGCCCAUCUCUGCUGAGCCCCCGCCCUCCGCCCGCCAGGCCCCGCCCCGCACCUACCGCGGGCCCUGCGCGUCCUCCUGCCGGAUUUUCUCCUCCACCGCCUGCAGCGCCGCAGCCAAGCAGGCGCUCGUCUCCUCCAGCUUCUGCCGGGCGCUGUCCCCGGGCGAGGCGCCUUCGGUCGGGGCGGGGGGCGCGGCGGCGGCGGCAGCAGCGGC